UUCCUGUAGGAGUUCGCUCAGGUCAUAAUUUAUGUCAUCUCCCCAUUACUCCUGGGAGCACUGUCAUUCCGAAGUUUUGAAGGCUGGACUCGCCGCCCCGGACGAAAAACCGACCCGGGCGGGGCGGGUGGUGCUGCGGGAGGGAGUCACUGACGACAAUUCCAGGCGGAGGUGAUGCUGGAGGGCGGGGGAGGAGAGCUGCUUGCUAGCCUCGCGGGCUGGCGCCGGGAAGGGCCCGGCGCGACCAACGGUGAAGCCCGGACGCGGGCGCCGCGGGGAGGUCACACUCCCCACCCCCGCGGGCCUCAACCCCAUGGCCCCAAGGCCUGAGACCUCUCCGGACCGGUAACCUCCCCACCGCGCGGACAGGCAGCUUCCCGCGGUGGAAACUCUCGUGGGAGAGUGGCUCCACAGCCUGGCUCCCGCUGUCGGGCGCCUUAUUCCAUCGAUACGAAUUGAGUUACCUCCUCUGCGUAAAUUCUUCCCCGGACUUGUCGUGGUGCCUCCAACCUUGGACUGUAUCCCCUUGUUCACUAAGCUUCAGUGGCGCAAACGUUACCUUUCCUCCAAAAGCCAUAUGGCCCUGAUUGCAGUAUCACUGAGAAGAUAAAAAAACUCAGCUCCAGCAUCCUCUGCCACUCUUCUCAAAGUAUUUCUGUCUGCACCAUCAAUUUUGUGAGCUGUUGUCAAGUACCUGGAGGAACAGGAGCCUCUUUUCCCUUCUAAGUUGCCAACCCUUGGCCUGCUGGCUUCAUCUCACCUCCGUCCAGAUCUUCUUCCCCUGCUUUGCACUAGCCAAAAUGCCCAGACAAAUCCUUCACACUUGUUCCUCCCUUUUCUCCAAGGAUCUCCUUGGUAAGCUCAGUCACCUUUUUCACAGUGUUUUUUUUUUCCCCUUGACCUCACUGCAAUGCAAGAAAAUUAUGACUCACUUCCACUUGUAAAAUUCUCCCUUGACAUUGCCCUAGUAUGGUUCAGUCACCCUUUCUUCCUUGCUGGCUCUUCUUUCUCAUUUAGCACUCUGGGUGGGUGGGCAUUUGCCCCAGGUUCUAUUCUCAACCUUCUUGUUUCUCUUUACCAGCUGUCCUGGGACAACAUAUUACAAUUGCCGUUUUCUCCAUCCUUGAUCUGCCUUCAUAAACUCUAACUUCACAUUCCCUCCAACCAGCAAGACAUCAUCGUCCAGAGGACUCAUUACCUCUAGUCAGCAUGUCAAAAAAUAUUGAUACUUCCCUUCAAAAUCAACUUGUCUCCCUUUUACUCAGUUUUUGUCUGCAUUACCUUGCCUCCCAGCCAUUGAAAUCUUCCCCCUUUCUUCAAGUAACAAGACAAGUCCUCCUUUAUUGGUACCUUCUAGAUCUUGGCUUGCACUCUUCAAUAUGCCACAAAGGUUUUCAAAGCUCAGGUCAUGAUCUCACAGUUUGUGAUUUAGAGCCCUGCAUCAAGAUCUGCACUGACAGCAUGGAGCCUGCUUGGAAUUCUCUGUCUCCCUCUCUCUCUGGCCCUCCCCUGCUCUCUCUGUAUCUCUGUCUCUCUAAAUAAAUAAAUAAAUAAAUAAAUAAAUAAAUAUUUUUUUAAAUACUAAAAAAAAAAAAUAAAAAAUACUAUAGACAAAGGGGAAGUGGGGAAUUACUGUUUAAGUGGUACAGAGUUUCUGUAUGAGAUGAAAGAUUCUAUAAAUGGGUAGUGGUGAUCGUUGCACAACAUUGUGAAUGUACUUAAUGCUCCUGAAUUACACACUUAGAAAUGUUUAAAAAUGGUAAUUUUUAUGUUAUGCAUAUUUUACCAACAAGGAAAAAAAUAGGUAAAUUUAAAAAACACUAUAGAAGUGGCAAUCAAUUUUGCAAUAUAUCAGUGUAUCAAAUCAACACAUUGUACACCUUAAACUUACACAAUGUUACAUGUCAAUUAUAUCUCAAUAAAAUUGGGGAAAAACACUAUAGAUAAAUUAGAAUUUUCAAAAAUGUUCAAGUAACUAACAUGAUGGCAGGAAAAAAGAAACUACAGAAAUGGAAAACAGUACACACAGAAAACAAAUAAAAUGGCACAAUUAAGUUGUAUCAUAUCAAUAAUUACAUUAAAUAUUAAUAGUCUAGUAUACCAAUUAAAGGAUAAAAUUGGAAGAAUGAUUUAAGAACAUGGCCUAACUAUAUGAUGUCUACAAUAAGGUCAUUUCAAGUACAAUGAUAGAGGCAAGUUAAAUGAAAAGGAUUUAAAAAGAUACAUCAUACAAAUGUUAAAGGAAAACAUGAGUGACUAUAUUAUUAUCACAUAUAGAAGACUCAAGAACAAAGAAAAUUAUCAGAGAUAGAAAUGGCCAUAUUGUGAUAAAAGGGUCAGUUCACCAAGAAGACAUGGCAAUUCAAAAUAUGCAUGCACCAGACAACAGAGCCGCAAAUAAAAUGUGAAACAAAAACUGAUAGAACUAAAAUAGGUAAAUUCACAAUAAUAGUUGGAGACUUCAACACCCUUCUCUCAACAGCUGGUAGAACAACUAGACAAAAUCAGCAGGGAUAUAACAGAACUCAACACCAACAACCAGUAGGAUCUGGUCAACAUUUAUAGAAUACUUCACCCGAUAAUAGCUACAUACAUAUUCUUAUCAAGUGCUCAUGGAACACAUACCAUAAUAGAUCAUUUCCUGGGCCAUUAAACAAUUCUCACUCAAAAGAAAUGAAAUUAAAAACAAAAAGAUGAAAUCCUACCGACUAUGUUGUCCAACCACAAUGGAAUCAAACUAGAAAUAAGUAACAGAAAGAUAACAGGAAAAUUUCCAAACACUUGGAACUAAGCACACUUCUAAAUAAUGCAUGGGUCAAAGAAAAAGUCUCACCUCAAAGAACUAGGAAAAGAAGUGCAAAACAAACUCAAAGCAAGCAGAGGAAGGAAAUAAUAGAUAUAAAAGCUGGCAGCAAUAAAAGCGAAAAUAGGAAAACAAUAGAGAAAAUCUAUAAAAGAAAACCUCUAGCAAGAUUGACAAAGAAUAAAAGAGGCAUGACACUAAUUAUAAAUACCAGGAAUGAAACAGGGAAUAUCACUACAGACCCUGUAGACAUUAAAAAGAUAACAAGGAAAUACUACUACAACUGUAUACAUAUAAAUAGUUCCUCAAAAAAACACUCAACUACUGCAACUCACUCUAUAUGAAAUAUAUUAUUUGAGUAGUCCUAAGGCUAUUAAGGAAAUUGAAUUCAUAAUUUUGAAACUCUCAAAAAAGAAAUCUCUAGACUCACAUGGUUUCACUGGAGAAUUCUGCCAAAUCUUUAAAGAGUAAUUAAUGCCAAUUCUAUACAAUCCCUUCCAGUUUAAAAUAUGAAAUGAUGAAUACUUCACAAUUCAUUCUGUGAAGCUAGUAUUACCCUGACACCAAAACCAGAUAAAGAUAGUAAGCCAAAACAAAACUAUAGACCAAUAUCUCAUGAGCUUAGUUGCAAAAAUGCUCACAGAAUAGUAAAUUGAUUCCUGCAAUACAUAAAAGAUUUAUAUAUCAUAAUGUAGAGGGGUUUAUUUUAGGAAUACAAGGUGGGUUGAAUGUUCAAAAAUCAACAAAUGUAAUCAACCAUAUCAACAGGUUAAAGAAGAAAAAUCAUAUGAUCAUAUCAAUUGAUGCAGAAAAGGCAUUUGGUAACAUCCAACAUCCAUUCAUGAUUAAAAGCCUUAGUAAGCUAAGCAUAAGGGGGGAAUUCCUCAUCUUGUUAAAGAAAGACUAUAAAAACCUACAGCUAAUGUCAUAACUACUGGUGAAAGGUUAAAAAGACUGAAUACUUCUCCCUAAGAUGUCCUAGAAUGUCCACUCUCACCACCUAGUGAAGCAACAGGAAGUGCUAGCCAGUUCAGUAAAGCAAGAAAGAGAAAUUGGAAAGGAGGAAAUAAUACUGUCCCUAUUUGCCAAUAACAUUAGUGUCUAUGUAGAAAAUUCCAAGGAAUCUACACACAUACAUACACAGUCCCAAAACUUAAUAACUAAGUUCAGCAAGGUCACAAGGUGCAAGAUUAACACACAAAACCCAAUUAUAUUUCAAUAUACUAACAACAUUAGUUGAGGAAACAAAUUAAAAACAAUGACAUUUAUAAUUGCUUCCAAAGAAAAAUGCUUAGGUGUAAAUCUUAUGAAACGUAUACAGGGUCUAUAUUCUGAAAAUUAUAAAAUACUGAUGAAAGAAAAAUACCUAAAUAAAUGGAUAAAUAUACUGUAUUCAUAAAUUGAAAGAGUAAAGAUGUCAACUCCCAAAUUGAUUACUAUAGAUUUAAUGCAAUUCUGAUUAAAAUCUCAGCAAGGUAUUUUGUAACAUAGGCAAUUUUGCUGUAAAAUUUAUAUGUAAAGGUGUAGGAACUGUAAUAGCUAAAACAACUUUGAAAAAGAAGAAUAAAAUGGGAGGAAUCACUCUAUGCAAUGUUAAAUCUCAGUGUACAGUGACAGCAAUCAAGACUGUAUAGUAUUGGCACAGGGAUAGACACAAAGAUCAAUGGAAUAGAAUAAAGAACCCAGAAAUAGGCUGACACGAAUAUGCCCAAGUGAUUUUUAACAAAGGUGCAAAAGAAAUCAAUAGAGGAAGAAUAGCCUUUCAGCAAAUAGAGUCAUAAAGUAUUUUGAGCAUUCAUAGCUGCCCCCCCCCCCCC